rnacentral:rRNA from 1 species
AGUGAACGCUGGCGGUAGGCCUAACACAUGCAAGUCGAACGGCAGCACAGUAAGAGCUUGCUCUUACGGGUGGCGAGUGGCGGACGGGUGAGGAAUACAUCGGAAUCUACUUUUUCGUGGGGGAUAACGUAGGGAAACUUACGCUAAUACCGCAUACGACCUACGGGUGAAAGCAGGGGAUCUUCGGACCUUGCGCGAUUGAAUGAGCCGAUGUCGGAUUAGCUAGUUGGCGGGGUAAAGGCCCACCAAGGCGACGAUCCGUAGCUGGUCUGAGAGGAUGAUCCGCCACACUGGAACUGAGACACGGUCCAGACUCCUACGGGAGGCAGCAGUGGGGAAUAUUGGACAAUGGACGCAAGCCUGAUCCAGCCAUACCGCGUGGGUGAAGAAGGCCUUCGGGUUGUAAAGCCAUUUUGUUGGGAAAGAAAAGCAGCAGGUUAAUACCCCGCUGUUCUGACGGUACCCAAAGAAUAAGCACCGGCUAACUUCGUG